GCCCAGCGCUGAAUCCUGUGGCCACUGGUCACUGGGAACUGUGGCGUAUAGGUGCAGCUUUUCGACAGUUUUUGCUCACCCAAAGUUCCCUUGAGUGGGGCUAUUGUCCAUAGAGGGUGCUAGGCCUGUACGGGUGGCAAAGCUGACGAUUCGGUUGCUCCUUGGAGUCGAGUUGCCUGGGAACGCAGCUCAAAGUAGGUGGUAAACCUCAUCUAAGGCUAAAUAUGACCACGAGACCGAUAGCAAACAAGUACCGUGAGGGAAAGUUGCAAAGAACUUUGAAGAGAGAGUUCAAGAGGGCGUGAAACCGCUGAGAAUGAAACGGAUAGAGUUAACGAAACACAGUGGCAUUCAUCCGAGCCAUGCGUCGUUGUCGGUUGCAUUGGUUGCACUGUGCCCCUUCACUGGGACGCAGGAGCCGUGUAGCCUGUCGAUGACUGUGAUCGGUGCUUUUGUCACUGGUAUGCGCUGAGGAGUUUGCUGUGGUGCGCUGCCGCCAUUCCAAGAUCGCCAUACUCUUAUGGGUGUGGAAUGUUUGGGUGGUUUUUGGAGGCGUAUCCGCGGCGAACGCUGCUUUAGCAGUUGUGCUACGCCGGCUAGUUUGCGCGUAAUGUGCUGCUGUGUGAUUGGUGUGGCUGUUGGGCGGUCGCAUGCGACUUGCUUACAGUUGACGCUAGUCCACGGGUGGUGCUGUCGCGUUGGCGUUAGCAUCUCGGUGUAAAAGUUGGCCACCUAUCCGACCCGUCUUGAAACACGGACCAAGGAGUUUAGCAUAUGCGCAAGUCAUUGGGUGGCAAAUCCAAAGGCGUAAUGAAAGUAAAGGUCGCUUUUAGUGACUGAUAUGGGAUCCGUGCAUUUGUACGGCGCACCAUAGCCCCGUCCUCGUUGCUUGCAAUAGGGCGGAGGUAGAGCGCAUACGCUGAGACCCGAAAGAUGGUGAACUAUGCCUGAGCAGGAUGAAGCCAGAGGAAACUCUGGUGGAAGUCCGAAGCGGUUCUGACGUGCAAAUCGAUCGUCUGACUUGGGUAU
rnacentral:rRNA from 1 species